UAUAAUAUUCUUUAAAGCUUUUAAAAAUUUUAAAUUUAAUUAUAUUUUUAAUUUUUUAGAACGACACGAAACGAUUUACCGCUUUCAGUAAGCACAUGCCUCACUAUUGCAUAAUUAAAAAAGGUAAACUUUAAUUUGCCCCAUGUCAUUUAGGGGUGUUUGGGUCGUUUAUUUUCGGUAUGAAAAAUAAUAUUUUCUUGCUUAUUUGGUUAUUUGUAGAAUAAUUUUUUCGUAAAAAUAUUAUUAUGGAUUUGAGAAAAAAAUUAAAGGCUAAAUUACAUAAAACCCUCCGUCAAAAUCCGAUUUUUCAUUUUCUUCCUCUGUUAUUUAAAAAUCUACACCUUCCCUCCUUGUAAAAUAAAAAAUGUUCACAGAGGGUACGGUGUGUACUGUGAUGAUAAAAUGACCAUUUUGCCCCUCACCAUUAUCGUCUCCUCCCUCAUCUUUCUCAACAGCAACAUCAAUCGGUCACGGUUUACGCCUCAAUAGGCUGCAGUUUCUCUCUAUUUUCUUCCCCACCUGCUCCCCUCUCUUCCUGCACUCUCGCCACCUCUCGAUUUCGGCGAUAGUAGGGUGGAAAUCGAGGUGGUGGUGGAUGGAGAGGUAGGUAACGGCAACGAGGGCGAAGGUGAGGUGGCGGAGGAGGGCGAAGGGGUGGUGCGGACGGGGAUGUGGGCGAGGGCGAGGGCGAGGCAACGGAGGAGGGCGAGGCGGCGAAGCAACAGGAAGAGGGCGGAGGGGUAUUUUUGGUAGAAGAAAAUAUUUUAUAACGGAAUCCUAACAGAUCACUAACGGUAGGGGGCAAAGUGCACAUUUUUUAUUUUACAAGGAGGCAAAGUGUAGUUUUUUAAAUGACAGGGGUGGAAAGUGAAAAAUCUCGUUUUGACAGGGGGGUUUUCUAUAAUUUAGCCAAAAUUAAAAUUUUCAUUUUUUGUUGUUUUUCAAAGAAAAACAAAAAUUCUAUGGAAUUAAUUUACUAUUAUACAAUAAUUUAUUUAUAAAUAUUAUAUUUAUAUAUGAUAUAAUAUAUUACAUGUGUUAUUAUCUAUUAUCUUAUAUAAAUAAAUUAUUAUAUUAUAUAUUAUAUAGAGUUGGGUUGGGAUGCUAUUGAUAGCAUCCAGCCAACUUUGCCACCUAUUUUAUAACCCUUGGAUCGCAUCGAGAUCCGUGCCACACCUUUAGUCAAAACUUGAGAAAAGCUCCAUUAGAUCCCCUCCGUUAUCUCUCUUUUUCUCUCUCUCUCUCUCUCUUUGUCUCUCUCUCUCUCUCUCUCUUCUUUUCUUUUUUCUUUUCCUUUCUUCUCCACAGACCUCACCUCCCGCCAAACCUCCCUCCUCCACAGCAUGCCCACCUCCCACCUCGCCCACUCGCCCCCUCGCCGCAGUUUUCGCCCGCCCGCUUGCUCUCUCACUUUCUCUCUUUCUUCUUUUCUUUUUCUUUUUCCUUUCUUCUCCACAGAGCUUACCACCAAACCCUCCCUCCUCCACACCCCGCCCACCUCCCAUCUCGCCCACCUCGCCCACUCGUCCCCUCGCUUGCUCGCUCGCUUGCUGGCUCGCUCACCCCCUUGCCUACUUCUCAGGUUUGAUUCUUUGUUUUAUUUUUUUUAGUUGUUUGGUGAAUAAAUUAUAGGAAAAAAAUAUUAUUUGGUGAAACAAAUUACAGGAAAAAAAAUAUUGUUCUGUGUUUAAAAAAUCUGAAAAAAAAAUCUGAUUUUAUUAUACAAAAUUUGAAUUUAUUAUAAAAUCUGAUUUUAUUAUACAAAAUCUGAUUUUAUUAUUCUAGCAUCUAUUUUAUUAAUCUCUUGGCUACUUGCAAUUCUUGUCCUUAGAACUAUUGAUAUUGAGUAAGUGAUUACACAGGCUCUGAUUCUAUGAAAGAAAAGAUAGUGUACGGAAUUCAUGUGUAUUAGCAUUCUUUGAUGAUUUUUUUCUAUGCACAGAGAAGGUUGCUCUUCUUAUUUUUUAACUACAUUUCUGCAAUUUUGAAUGAGAGUUUUUAAGUGUUUAAUGUUUUGAGUUCAGUGAUUUAGACUACUGAAAUCUACAGUUGGUAAAUAUCAUGCUUCUUACUAAUUUUUAUUUUUAUUUUUAUUUUUUCUGAAGGUUGGAGUCAAAUGGAUUAGAUAAUAAUGUUGAGAUAGGUGAAGUCUGUCUCAAAUGGUCUGUCACAGUAAACUGAAAAGGAUGGUGCUACAUAUACUACAAAAGGCCAAGAAGAGACAGAUAGCUCAAGUGACUCUGUAUGAAGAUAAACUUGUAACAUGCGUAAACAAUGGCUGAACUAGGCUUCUUGUUUGUAGUAUGUAUUUUGCUAGUAAUAACUCUGAAAUGAUACUUAUUAUCCAGAUAGUUUAACUUGUAGAAUGUUCAAGUGAUCUGGAUGAUUUAACUUAUUGUAGAAUGUUUAUCAUCGACAGGUAUUUGUUGCUUUCUGCUGUCUCCUUUUCCACUGUUGUUAAAAUUUGGUGCUCUGCUUCAUGCUAUAGUGUUUC
rnacentral:lncRNA from 1 species